CGCGUCAGAUUGUGAACUGCAGGACACAUGAACACCGACAAGUUGAACGCAUAUUGCACAUCGUACUUCAGUACGAUGUACACAUUUUUGAGUGCCUAUAUUUACCCAUUUAACUAUACGCGCGCGCGCUCGUUGGUCGUAGACCAAACCGCCGCCGUAUGCGGAGUGACGUUUUCCCGCCUUCAGUGUGCGGUAAAACGUUCAAGAUAGUCAGACGCGGGGGUGCGCGUGCGUGCACGUUCCCCCCGUGGUUGAUGAGUACACCCCACCAAGCUUGCCAAAGCCUGCCGUGUGCGACAUCAUCAUACCAUCCGACCAUCACCCCAACACUCACAUGUAGGCCUCAAAUAAUGUGUGAC
rnacentral:rRNA from 1 species